rnacentral:rRNA from 1 species
UACGAAGGGUGCAAGCGUUACUCGGAAUUACUGGGCGUAAAGCGUGCGUAGGUGGUGAGUUAAGUCUGAUGUGAAAUCCCCGGGCUCAACCUGGGAAUGGCAUUGGAUACUGGCUCGCUAGAGUGCGGUAGAGGGUGGUGGAAUUCCCGGUGUAGCAGUGAAAUGCGUAGAUAUCAGGAGGAACACCUGUGGUGUAGACAGCUUACUGGACCACUUCUGACGCUGAGACACGAAAGCGUGGGUAGCAAACAGG